UAACGAAACCUCAAGUCCUUCGCAAUUUAUUAUCGCAAAGGGCUUUAGAUUACACUGACCAAGUUUUGUGUUGAUCUGAAUAAAUCUCUAGGAGGAGUUCGUUAAAGUACAACCCCUGAAAAUGGCAAAAACAACACCAAUUUUGAAGGGAAAAUUCAAAAUAACCGACUUCCUGUUGGGAUCCGGAUUUCGUACCAAGAGACUUUUUUGUAGGUGUUGGAGUGUUACAUGUGUGUACCAAUUUUUGUACAUGUACGUGAAACAUAGCUCGAGGCGCACUCCGUUGAAAGUGUAUAGGUGGCGCUAUAGAGCCAUUCUGCCACACCCGGUGGAAUAUUGGCCUUCAGAUCUGUUCAGGCCAGGACUCUUAUCACACAUGUGAAGUUUGGGGAAGAUCGAAUAUUUUAUGCCUGAGUUAUAACAUCUUUUAUUCCCAUGGCGAGACAUCAAACUUCGUCGCAGCGCCAUGAACACGCCUUUUAAAGAAAACUCAAGAUCUUCACAACUGAACAUCGCACAGGCCUUUAGAUUAGACUGACCAGAAAAAAGACAUUGAUGUCAUAAAAUUUCUAGGAGUAGUUUGUCGCAGCGUAAAAUAUGUCACUUCCUGUUGCCAAUAGGUGGCGCUAUGACUAUAACUGAAUAUGGGCAUGUCAAUCUGUUCAGGUCAGGAGUCUCAUCAAACAUGUGAAGUUUGGGGCAGAUUGGUCAUUGUAUGUCUGAGUUAUAGCAACUUCCUGUUUCAUGGCGAAUCAUCGAAAUUCGCCAGGCCACCACGGACACGCCCAUUAACGAAAACUCAAAAGCUUCGCAAUUUAACAUCGCAAAGGCCUUCAGAUUAGGCAUACCAAAUUUGGUGUUGAUCUGAAUGAAUCUCUAGGAGGAGUUCGUUAAAAUACAACGCAUGGAAAUGACAAAAAUGACACAAAAUUUGCUCAUAAUAUUAGUAAUAACCGACUUCCUGUUGGGUUUCGGAUUUUGCUCCAAGAGACUUUUUUGUAGGUAUUGGAGAGUUACAUGUGUGUACCGAUUUUCAUACAUGUACAUGAAACGUAGCUCGAGGCGCACACCGUUGAACGUGUAUAGGUGGCGCUGUUGAGCCAUUUUGCCACACCCACUUCUGAAACCCAUAUCAGACGUAAAUUUUCGCCAGUUCUGAGGUGUGUGCAAAGUUUCAUGACUUUUCAAGCAUGUUUAGGCCCUCAAAAAUGCGAUUCAUUUUGGAGAAGAAGAAUAAUAAUAAUAAUUAAAGCUGCAAGCAGCGAUGAACGGGCCCUCGCACCCGGGCUCACCGCCAUCGUUUGGCUUUAGUAAAAAGGUGAACGGUGAGAAAUAUGCAUUUAAAGACUUAAAAAUAAGUGGAAUAUGUCAAAGUCAUUUAUUUGUACCAGUCCUCCUGUUGCCAGCAGGUGGCGCUAUCAUUAUAAUGGAAUAUUGGCCUUCAGAUGUGUUCAGGGCAGAAUUCUUAUCUAACAUGUGAAGUUUGGGGGAGAUCGAACAUUUUAUGCCUGAGUUACAACAACUUCUCUUGCUGUGACGAGACAUCAAAUUUUGUCAUGGUGCCAUGGACACGUCCUUUAACAAAAACUCAAGUUCUCCACAAUUUAACAUUGCACAGACCUUUAGAUUAGACUGACCACAAAAAAUACAUUAAUGUCAAAAGAUUUCUAGGAGUAGUUUGUCGCAGUGUAAAACAUGUGACUUCCUGUUGCCAGCAGGUGGCGCUAUGACUAUAACUGAAUAUGGGCAUGUAGAUCUGUUAAGUGCAGAAGUCUUAUCUAACAUGUGAAGUUUGGGGCAGAUUGGACAUUGUAUGUCCGAGUUACAGCAACCUCCUUUUUCAUGGCGAAACAUCGAAAUUUGCCAGGCCGCCAUGGUCACGCCCUUUAACAAAACCUCAAGAUCUUCGCAAUUUAACAUCGCAAAGGCCUUUAGAUUUAACUUACCAAGUUUGGUGUUGAUCUGAAUAAAUCUCUAGGAGGAGUUCGUUAAAGUACAACCCCUGAAAAUGGCAAAAACAACGCCAAUUUUGCAGAGAAAAUUCUAAAUAACCGACUUCCUGUUGGGAUUCGGAUUUUGUACCAAGAGACUUUUUUGUAGGUAUUGGUGUGUUACAUAUGUAUACCGAUUUUUGUACAUGUAUGUGAAACAUAGCUCGAGGCGCACUCUGUUGAAAGUGUAUAGGUGGCGCUAUCGAGCCAUUUUGCCACACCUGAUGGAAUUUUGGCCUUCAGAUGUGUUCAGGCCAGGACUCUUAUCACACAUGUGCAGUUUGGGGAAGAUCGGACAUUUUAUGCCUGAGUUAUAACAUAUUUUAUUCCCAUGGCGAGACAUCGAACUUCGCGACGGCGCCAUGGACACGCCUUUUAACGAAAACUCAAGAUCUUCACAACUUAACAUCGCACAGGCCUUUAGAUUAGACUGACCACAAAAAAUACAUUGAUGUCAUAAAAUUUCUAGGAGUAGUUCAUCGCAGUGUAAAAUAUGUCACUUCCUGUUGCCAAUAGGUGGCGCUAUGACUAUAACUGAAUAUGGGCAUGUCAAUCUGUUCAGGUCAGGAGUCUCAUCAAACAUGUGAAGUUUGGGGCAGAUUGGUCAUUGUAUGUCUGAGUUAUAGCAACUUCAUUUUUCAUGGCGAAUCAUCGAAAUUCGCCAGGCCGCCACGGACACGCCCAUUAACAAAAACUCAAAAGCUUCGCAAUUUAACAUCGCAAAGGCCUUCAGAUUAGGCAUACCAAAUUUGGUGUUGAUCUGAAUGAAUCUCUAGGAGGAGUUCGUUAAAAUACAACCCAUGGAAAUGACAAAAAUGACACAAAAUUUGCUCAUAAUAUUAGUAAUAACCGACUUCCUGUUGGGUUUCGGAUUUUGCUCCAAGAGACUUUUUUGUAGGUAUUGGAGAGUUACAUGUGUAUACCGAUUUUCAUACAUGUACAUGAAACGUAGCUCGAGGCGCACACCGUUGAACGUGUAUAGGUGGCGCUGUUGAGCCAUUUUGCCACACCCACUUCUGAAACCCAUAUCAGACGUAAAUUUUCGCCAGUUCUGAGGUGUGUGCAAAGUUUCAUGACUUUUCGAGCAUGUUUAGGCCCUCAAAAAUGCGAUUCAUUUUGGAGAAGAAGAAUAAUAAUAAUAAUUAAAGCUGCAAGCAGCGAUGAACGGGCCCUCGCACCCGGGCUCACCGGCAGAGAGUGGCUUUAGUAAAUAGGUGAGCGGUGAGAAAUAUGCAUUUAAACUCAUAAAUGUAAGUGGAAUAUAUCAAAGUUAUUCCAUAUAUGUGCCAAUCUUCCUGUUGCCAGCAGGUGGCGCUAUCAUUAUAAUGGAAUAUUGGCCUUCAGUUGUGUUCAGGGCAGGACUUUUAUCGAACAUGUGAGGUUUGGGGAGGAUUGGACAUUUUAUGCCUGAGUUACAACAACAUCCUAUUUCAUGGCGAAACAACUAAAUUUGUCAGGCCGCCAUGGACACGCCCUUUAACGAAACCUCAAGAUCUUCGCAAUUUAAGAUCGCAAAAGGCUUUAGAUUACACUGACCAAGUUUGGUGUUGAUCUGAAUAAAUAUCUAGGAGGAGUUCGUUAAAGUACAACCCCUGAAAAUGGCCAAAACAACACUAAUUUUGCAGAGAAAAUUCGAAAUAACUGACUUCCUGUUGGGAUUUGGAUUUCGUACCAAGAGACUUUUUCGUAGAUAUUGUUGUGUUACAUGUGUGUACCGAUUUAUGUACAUGUACGUGAAACAUAGCUCGAGGCGCACUCCGUUUAAAGUGUAUACGCACUCCGUUAAAAGAGUAUAGGUGGCGCUAUCGAGCCAUUUUGCCACACUCGAUGGAAUAUUGGCCUUCAGAUCUGUUCAGGCCAGGACCCUUACCAUACAAGUGAAGUUUGGGCAAGAUCAGACAUUUUAUGCCUGAGUUAUAACAUCUUUUAUUCCCAUGGCGAGACAUCGAACUUCAUCACGGCGCCAUGGACACACCUUUUAACAAAAACUCAAGAUCUUCACAACUAAACAUCACACAUGUCUUUAGAUUAGACUGACCACAAAAAAGACAUUGAUGUCAUAAAAUUUCUAGGAGUAGUUUGUCGCAGUGUAAAAUAUGUAACUUCCUGUUGCCAAUAGGUGGCGCUAUGACUAUAACUGAAUAUUGCCAUGUAGAUCUGUUCAGGUCAAGAGUCUUAUCCAACAUGUGAAGUUUGGGGCAGAUUGGACAUUGUAUGUCUGAGUUACAGCAACUUCCUUUUUCAAGGCGAAACAUCGAAAUUUGUCAGGCCGCCAUGGACCCGCCCUUUAACGAAACCUCAAGUCCUUCGCAAUUUAUUAUCGCAAAGGGCUUUAGAUUACACUGACCAAGUUUGGUGUUGAUCUGAAUAAAUCUCUAGGAGGAGUUCGUUAAAGUACAACCCCUGAAAAUGGCAAAAACAACACCAAUUUUGAUGGGAAAAUUCAAAAUAACCGACUUCCUGUUGGGAUCCGGAUUUCGUACCAAGAGACUUUUUUGUAGGUAUUAGAGUGUUACAUGUGUGUACCAAUUUUUGUACAUGUACGUGAAACAUAGCUCGAGGCGCACUCCGUUGAAAGUGUAUAGGUGGCGCUAUAGAGCCAUUCUGCCACACCCGGUGGAAUGUUGGCCUGCAGAUCUGUUCAGGUCAGGACUCUUAUCACACAUGUGAAGUUUGGGGAAGAUCGGACAUUUUAUGCCUGAGUUAUAACAUCUUUUAUUCCCAUGGCGAGACAUCGAACUUCGUCGCUGCGCCAUGAACAAGCCUUUUAACGAAAACUCAAGAUCUUCACAACUGAACAUCGCACAGGCCUUUAGAUUAGACUGACCACAAAAAAGACAUUGAUGUCAUAAAAUUUCUAGGAGUAGUUCGUCGCAGCGUAAAAUAUGUCACUUCCUGUUGCCAAUAGGUGGCGCUAUGACUAUAACUGAAUAUGGUCAUGUCAAACCGUUCAGGACAGGAGUCUCAUCAAACAUGUGAAGUUUGGGGCAGAUUGGUCAUUGUAUGUCUGAGUUAUAGCAACUUCCUGUUUCAUGGCGAAUCAUCGAAAUUCGCCAGGCCGCCACACACAGGCCCUUCAACGAAAACUCAAAAGCUUCGCAAUUUAACAUCGCAAAGGCCUUUAAAUUAGGCAUACCAAAUUUGGUGUUGAUCUGAAUUAAUCUCUAGGAGGAGUUCGUUAAAAUACAACGCAUGGAAUUGACAAAAAUGACACAAAAUUUGCUCAUAAUAUUAGAAAUAACCGACUUCCUGUUGGGUUUCGGAUUUUGCUCCAAGAGACUUUUUUGUAGGUUUUGGAGAGUUACAUGUGUAUACCGAUUUUCAUACAUGUACAUGAAACGUAGCUCGAGGCGCACACCGUUGAACGUGUAUAGGUGGCGCUGUUGAGCCAUUUUGCCACACCCACUUCUGAAACCCAUAUCAGACGUAAAUUUUCGCCAGUUCUGAGGUGUGUGCAAAGUUUCAUGACUUUUCGAGCAUGUUUAGGCCCUCAAAAAUGCGAUUCAUCUUAGAGAAGAAGAAUAAUAAUAAUAAUAAUAAUUAAAGCUGCAAGCAGCGAUGAACGGGCCCUCGCACCCGGGCUCACCGGCAGCGAGUGGCUUUAGUUAAUAGGUGAACGGUGAGAAAUAUGCGUUUAAACUCAUAAAUAUAAGUAGAAUAUAUCAAUGUUUAUUCCAUAUAUGUGCCAAUCUUCCUGUUGCCAGCAGGUGGCGCUAUCAUUAUAAUGGAAUAUUGGCCUUCAGAUGUGUUCAGGGCAGGACUUUUAUCGAACAUGUGAGGUUUGGGGAGGAUUGGACACUUUAUGCCUGAGUUACAACAACAUCCUAUUUCAUGGCGAAACAAUGAAAUUUGUCAGGCCGCCAUGGACACGCCCUUUAACGAAACCUCAAGAUCUUCGCAAUUUAAGAUCGCAAAAGGAUUUAGAUUACACGGACCAAGUUUGGUGUUGAUCUGAAUAAAUAUCUAGGAGGAGUUCGUUAAAGUACAACCCCUGAAAAUGGCCAAAACAACAGCAAUUUUGAAGGGAAAAUUCAAAAUAACUGACUUCCUGUUGGGAUUCGGACUUCGUACCAAGAGACUUUUUCGUAGAUAUUGGUGUGUUACAUGUGUGUACCGAUUCUUGUACAUGUACGUGAAACAUAGCUCAAGGCGCACUCCGUUUAAAGUGUAUACGCACUCCGUUGAAAGUGUAUAGGUGGUGCUAUUGAGCCAUUUUGCCACACUCGAUGGAAUAUUGGCCUUCAGAUCUGUUCAGGCCAGGACCCUUAUCACACAAGUGAAGUUUGGGCAAGAUCGGACAUUUUAUGCCUGAGUUAUAACAUCUUUUAUUCCCAUGGCGAGACAUUGAACUUCAUCACGGCGCCAUGGACACACCUUUUAACAAAAACUCAAGAUCUUCACAACUAAACAUCACACAGGUCUUUAGAUUAGACUGACCACAAAAAAGACAUUGAUGUCAUAAAAUUUCUAGGAGUAGUUUGUCGCAGUGUAAAAUAUGUAACUUCCUGUUGCCAAUAGGUGGCACUAUUACUAUAACUGAAUAUUGGCAUGUAGAUCUGUUCAGGUCAAGAGUCUUAUCCAACAUGUGAAGUUUGGGGCAGAUUGGACAUUGUAUGUCUGAGUUACAGCAACUUCCUUUUUCAUGGCGAAACAUCGAAAUUUUUCAGGCCGCCAUGGACCCGCCCUUUAACGAAACCUCAAGUCCUUCGCAAUUUAUUAUCGCAAAGGGCUUUAGAUUACACUGACCAAGUUUGAUGUUGAUCUGAAUAAAUCUCUAGGAGGAGUUCGUUAAAGUACAACCCCUGAAAAUGGCAAAAACAACAGCAAUUUUGAAGGGAAAAUUCAAAAUAACCGACUUCCUGUUGGGAUCCGGAUUUCGUACCAAGAGACUUUUUUGUAGGUAUUGGAGUGUUACAUGUGUGUACCAAUUUUUGUACAUGUACGUGAAACAUAGCUCGAGGCGCACUCCGUUGAAAGUGUAUAGGUGGCGCUAUCGAGCCAUUCUGCCACACCCGGUGGAAUAUUGGCCUGCAGAUCUGUUCAGGUCAGGACUCUUAUCACACACGUGAAGUUUGGGGAAGAUCGGACAUUUUAUGCCUGAGUUAUAACAUCUUUUAUUCACAUGGCGAGACAUCGAACUUCGCCAUGGUGCCGUGAACACGCCUUUUAACGAAAACUCAAGAUCUUCACAACUGAACAUCGCACAGGCCUUUAGAUUAGACUGACCACAAAAAAGACAUUGAUGUAAAAAAAUUUCUAGGAGUAGUUCGUCACAGCGUAAAAUAUGUCACUUCCUGUUGCCAAUAGGUGGCGCUAUGACUAAAACUAAAUAUGGGCAUGUCAAUCUGUUCAGGUUUGGAGUCUCAUCAAACAUGUGAAGUUUGGGGCAGAUUGGACAUUGUAUGUCUGAGUUAUAGCAACUUCAUUUUUCAUGGCGAAUCAUCGAAAUUCGCCAGGCCGCCACGGACACGCCCUUCGACGAAAACUCAAGAUCUUCGCAAUUUAACAUCGCAAAGGCCUUUAGAUUAGGCAUACCAAAUUUGGUGUUGAUUUGAAGAAAUCUCUAGGAGGAGUUCGUUAAAAUACAACACUUGGAAAUGACCAAAAUUACACAAAAUUUGCUCAUAAUAUUAAAAAUAACCGACUUCCUGUUGGGUUUAGAAUUUUGCUCCAAGAGUCUUUUUUGUAGGUAUUGGUGUGUUACAUAUGUGUGCCAAUUUUCGUGCAUGUACGUGAAACAUAGCUCGAAGGCUGUUGAUUUUCUUCGUAUAGGUGGCGCUGUCGAGCCAUUUUGCCACUCCCUCUUCUGAAUCCUAUAUCA